rnacentral:misc_RNA from 1 species
AAAGUCGUAACAAGGUUUCCGUAGGUGAACCUGCGGAAGGAUCAUUUGCAAGAGAGAGUGUGCUGGGUGUGCAAGCAUCUGGCUAUUUGUGCGUAUGCGUGUGACUGAAUAACGAGAGAAAGCGAGAGAACUUUUAACAAUGGAUCUCUGGGCUCUU